UACGAAGGGGGCGAGCGUUGUUCGGAUUUACUGGGCGUAAAGGGCGCGCAGGCGGCAGACCAAGUCAGGCGUGAAAGCCCCGGGCUUAACCUGGGAGGUGCGUCUGGGACUGGUAUGCUAGAGUUCAGGAGAGGAGAGUGGAAUUCCCAGUGUAGAGGUGAAAUUCGUAGAUAUUGGGAAGAACACCGGUGGCGAAGGCGGCUCUCUGGACCGAGACUGACGCUGAGGCGCGAAAGCGUGGGGAGCAAACAGG
rnacentral:rRNA from 1 species